CUGAGAGGUUAACCCCCCACACUGGUACUGAGACACGGACCAGACUCCUACGGGAGGCAGCAGUGAAGAAUAUUGGUCAAUGGACGCAGUCUGAACCAGCCAUGCCGCGUGCAGGAUGACGGCUCUAUUAGUUGUAAACUGCUUUUGUACGAGGGUAAACGCAGAUACGUGUAUCUGUCUGAAAAGUAUCGUACGAAUAAGGAUCG
rnacentral:rRNA from 1 species